UUUGAUCCUGGCUCAGGAUGAACGCUAGCGGCAGGCUUAACACAUGCAAGUCGAGGGGUAACAGAGGUAGCUUGCUACUUGCUGACGACCGGCGCACGGGUGAGUAACGCGUAUACAAUUUACCUUAUACAGGGGGAUAGCCUUUAGAAAUGAAGAUUAAUACCCCAUGGUUUGUUUGAAUCUCCUGAUUUUAAUAGUAAAGAUUUAUCGGUAUAAGAUGAGUAUGCGUUCUAUUAGCUAGAUGGUAAGGUAACGGCUUACCAUGGCAACGAUAGAUAGGGGCCCUGAGAGGGGGAUCCCCCACACUGGUACUGAGACACGGACCAGACUCCUACGGGAGGCAGCAGUGAGGAAUAUUGGGCAAUGGAGGCAACUCUGACCCAGCCAUGCCGCGUGAAGGAAGAAGGCCCUAUGGGUUGUAAACUUCUUUUAUAGAGGAAGAAACCCUCCCACGUGUGGGAGGCUGACGGUACUCUACGAAUAAGCACCGGCUAACUCCGUGCCAGCAGCCGCGGUAAUA
rnacentral:rRNA from 1 species